GGCAGCACGAUGUAGCAAUACAUUGGUGGCGACCGGCGCACGGGUGAGUAACGCGUAUGCAACCUACCUAUCAGAGGGGAAUAACCCGGCGAAAGUCGGACUAAUACCGCAUAAAACAGGGGUUCCACAUGGAAAUAUUUGUUAAAGAAUUAUCGCUGAUAGAUGGGCAUGCGUUCCAUUAGAUAGUUGGUGAGGUAACGGCUCACCAAGUCCACGAUGGAUAGGGGUUCUGAGAGGAAGGUCCCCCACACUGGUACUGAGACACGGACCAGACUCCUACGGGAGGCAGCAGUGAGGAAUAUUGGUCAAUGGGCGAGAGCCUGAACCAGCCAAGUCGCGUGAAGGAUGAAGGAUCUAUGGUUUGUAAACUUCUUUUAUAUGGGAAUAAAGUGAGGAACGUGUUCCUUUUUGUAUGUACCAUAUGAAUAAGCAUCGGCUAACUCCGUGCCAGCAGCCGCGGUAAUACGGAGGAUGCGAGCGUUAUCCGGAUUUAUUGGGUUUAAAGGGUGCGUAGGUGGUUAAUUAAGUCAGCGGUGAAAGUUUGUGGCUCAACCAUAAAAUUGCCGUUGAAACUGGUUGACUUGAGUAUAUUUGAGGUAGGCGGAAUGCGUGGUGUAGCGGUGAAAUGCAUAGAUAUCACGCAGAACUCCGAUUGCGAAGGCAGCUUACUAAACUAUAACUGACACUGAAGCACGAAAGCGUGGGGAUCAAACAGGAUUAGAUACCCUGGUAGUCCACGCAGUAAACGAUGAUUACUAGCUGUUUGCGAUACACAGUAAGCGGCACAGCGAAAGCGUUAAGUAA
rnacentral:rRNA from 1 species